rnacentral:rRNA from 1 species
AUGAGUUAAGUAUAAACCCCUUUACAAGUAUCAAUUGGAGGGCAAGUCUGGUGCCAGCAGCCGCGGUAAUUCCAGCUCCAAUAGCGUAUAUUAAAGUUGUUGCAGUUAAAAAGCUCGUAGUUGGAUUUCUGUUAAUAAUUUAUAUAUAAUAUUUUAACAUAUUUAUAUAAUAUUAACAUAAUUCAUAUUACUAUAUUUAUGUGUAGUAUAUGAAAUUUUACUUUGAGAAAAUUAGAGUGCUUAAAGCAGGCUUUUAUGCCUUGAAUACUAGAGCAUGGAAUAAUAUUAAAGAUUUUUAUCUUUCUUUAUUGGUUCUAAGAUAGAAAUAAUGAUUAAUAGGGACAGUUGGGGGCAUUUGUAUUUAACAGUUAGAGGUGAAAUUCUUAGAUUUGUUAAAGACAAACUAAUGCGAAAGCAUUUGCCAAGGAUGUUUUCAUUAAUCAAGAACGAAAGUUAGGGGAUCGAAGACGAUCAGAUACCGUCGUAGU